GCUCGCAUCUUAUCUUCCAAUUUUAAUUUUGUUCAAAGUCAAAUUAAAUGUUGAGACUGCCAAAAUUAAGCCCAUUGUCGACAUUACUAAUCACCGCAGAUUGUGGACUGAUGUUCAUUUUGUGGUUUAGUAUGUUUUUUCGGUUAAGGUUGUGCUUUCGUAUACAUAAAUGAACUCAUCAUACGGGGCUUGCCUAGUGCUGGUUAUCUCUCCUGUGUGGUUUGCGAGCUAUUGCACAAGACCUGGGUUUACCCUGUGCGCUCCCGAAGGGUAGGGGCUGCGGGUUCUCAUGUCUCAAAAAAAAAAAAAAAUUUCUGCCUCUCAAUUUUUUUCACCUUGAGAAGCUCCUUAACAGUUGUGUGCGUUGCACACCUACCUUUGAACAACCUCUCUGAAGCAAUUCCCUACCUCGUAUCAUUUUGAAGUGGAUGAGCAGGUGGAUAACAUCCACUCCCUCUCCUUUACACAAGAUACACCAGCUAAUAUGAAUCUGUCUUUUCCGCAUGUUUAUUGACUUCUUCGAAGUUGGCUAUUCAUAUGAUUUACAACAUUGGACAAAACUUGACAUGUAGUAAAUGCUUUCCCUUGUUUUCCCACUGCUUCUAUUAUCUCUUCUGUUUCCUUUCAAUCAGCUAAAGUGUGUCAAAUUUCAGGUCUUUUACUGCAAAAAAAGAAGAAGUCAAUUUGACUCUUAUUUCAUGGUUAACUGUGACCAGAACCUAAGCUACUUUGACUCUGGGCUAUUUUAGAAAAGACCUUCUAUUCAAAACGUGCUUUGCAUUAUGCAACAUCAUUUGCAUUGUUAACGGACAAUAACUCUACAAGUGUUUAAAUUGAUUCAUUGGACAAAACUUGACAUGAAGUAAAUGCUUUCCCUUUGUUUCCCACUGCUUCUAUUAUCUCUUCUGUUUCCUUUCAAUCAGCUAAAUUGUGUCAAAUUUCAGGUCUUUUACUGCAAAAAAAGAAAAGAAGAA